CGGGGGGAGCAAGCGUUGUUCGGAUUUACUGGGCGUAAAGGGCGCGUAGGCGGCGCAACAAGUCACUUGUGAAAUCUCCGGGCUUAACCCGGAGCGGUCAAGUGAUACUGUCGUGCUAGAGUGCGGAAGGGGCUACUGGAAUUCUCGGUGUAGCGGUGAAAUGCGUAGAUAUCGAGAGGAACACCUGCGGCGAAGGCGGGUAGCUGGGCCGACACUGACGCUGAUGCGCGAAAGCCAGGGGAGCGAACGGGAUUAGAUACCCCGGUAGUCCUGGCCUUAAACGAUGGAUACUUGGUGUCCGGGGUUACAUAGUCCCCGGGUGCCGGCGCUAACGCAUUAAGUAUCCCGCCUGGGGAGUACGGUCGCAAGACUG
rnacentral:rRNA from 1 species